ACGGGAGGCAGCAGUGGGGAAUAUUGGGCAAUGGGCGCAAGCCUGACCCAGCGACGCCGCGUGAAGGAAGAAGGUCUUCGGAUUGUAAACUUUUGUCAUCAGGGAAGAAGAAAGUGACGGUACCUGAUAAGAAAGCCACGGCUAACUACGUGCCAGCAGCCGCGGUAAUACGUAGGUGGCGAGCGUUAUCCGGAUUUACUGGGUGUAAAGGGUGUGUAGGCGGACUGACAAGUCAGGUGUGAAAUCCAUCGGCUCAACCGAUGAACUGCACUUGAAACUGCCAGCCUUGAGGGUCGGAGAGGCAAGCGGAAUUCCCAGUGUAGCGGUGAAAUGCGUAGAUAUUGGGAGGAACACCAGUGGCGAAGGCGGCUUGCUGGACGACAACUGACGCUGAGACACGAAAGCGUGGGGAGCAAACAGGAUUAGAUACCCUGGUA
rnacentral:rRNA from 1 species